rnacentral:rRNA from 1 species
GACGAACGCUGGCGGCGCGCUUAACGCAUGCAAGUCGAACGGAAAGGCCUGCUUUCCCUUGUGGAUUGCGGGUACUCGAGUGGCGAACGGGUGAGUAACACGUGAGUGAUCUGCCCCCAACUUGGGUAUAAGCCUGGGAAACUGGGUCUAAUUCCCGAUAGGACUGCAGGGUGGUGCCUGUGGUGGAAAACGAUUUUCUAGUGGUUGGGGAUGAGCUCGCGGCCUAUCAGCUUGUUGGUGGGGUAAUGGCCUACCAAGGCGGCGACGGGUAGCCGGCCUGAGAGGGUGGACGGCCACAUUGGGACUGAGAUACGGCCCAGACUCCUACGGGAGGCAGCAGUGGGGAAUAGUGCACAAUGGGCGGAAGCCUGAUGCAGCGACGCCGCGUGGGGGAUGACGGCCUUCGGGUUGUAAACUCCUUUCGACCGCGAGGAAGCCACCUGGUUGGAAGGGUGGUGACGGUAGUGGUAGAAGAAGCACCGGCUAACUACGUC